GCGUAGAGUCGGGCGAAAGGGAAAAUAGUCGGGCGAACACUUUUUUUCUCCCCCAUUUAGAGGCAGGUUUUUUGACACGGCGGUCGUUCGAUCGACUUCCAUUUGUCUCCGAGCAUUCUGUCGACUAACGUCCCAAACAUACUACCACGCGCUGUCACCGGUGCAAAGCCGAAUAUCUCGCGAAGAUGCGCGUCGAUCGCUUCCAUCUGACUUGAUCGAGUUACGUGUACGGUUAAUACACUCGUUACAAACUUACUUCGAUUUCUUCUCAGUGAUUUUCGAGGAACCUUUUUCGUUUUGUAUUUGCGGACGUGCAAAACGUAAUCAACAAAUGGAUUGAUUCGAUAGUUCGAUAGUUGAAUGUUCUCUUGCUAUACGCUUGAUACAGAGUAAAACGUGAUCCUUGUGAUUGAUUCUGAUAAUUUGUGUGCGCUGAAAGCGAGGGCACCUUUGAGCGUGUAGGAGGAACCACAACAAGACAGGUGGACUGAAAUGAAACAUUGGAUCGGGUUUGUCUAAGAAGUUGCAAGAAUGGUACGAAGAUUUUCGUGGUGUACGGUUGUGGCAUUGGUGGUGCUGCUUUUCGUCACAACCGAUGGUCUUCGCGAGCAUAGUACUCAGAUCGAUGAUCAUAAAGCUACAAAUCGUGGCACUUUGAGAUUCAAUUCUAAAUCACUGGAGGAAGCAACCACAAUAUCAUCUUCGCCGCCAUCGAGAUCCAAAACGAAUUGGGACAGAUCAGCGCAAUCGAAAACGC